CGGGUGCGUAACGCGUAUGCAAUCUACCCACAGCAGAGGGAUAGCCCGUGGAAACAUGGAUUAAUACCUCAUAACACAGGGAGCCCACCUGGGCAUAUUGUUAAAGCUUCGGCGGCAGUGGAUGAGCAUGCGUCCCAUUAGUUAGUUGGUACGGUAACGGCGUACCAAGACGAUGAUGGGUAGGGGUUCUGAGAGGAUGAUCCCCCACACUGGUACUGAGAUACGGACCGG
rnacentral:rRNA from 1 species